GCUAGGGAGGUGAGGAGCACUGUCAGGGAUAUGUUCACUGAGCCAGGUUUCAGCGAAACACAAUGCUGCGCAUCUGCCAAAGUCUGAGUUUUUCCUGUUGAGAAGCAGCAAUUCAUCCAUCUUGUUUGACAGAGAGCGUACACUGGCGAGGUGAACUGACGGGAGCACAGAGCACAGCUCCCACCACCUGAGUUUUAUGAGCACUCCUGCCCGCU